rnacentral:rRNA from 1 species
GAUCAUGGCUCAGGAUGAACGCUAGCUACAGGCUUAACACAUGCAAGUCGAGGGGCAGCGGGAUUGAAGCUUGCUUCAAUUGCCGGCGACCGGCGCACGGGUGAGUAGCGCGUAUCCAACCUUCCGUACACUCAGGGAUAGCCUUUCGAAAGAAAGAUUAAUACCUGAUGGUAUCUUAAGCACACAUGUAAUUAAGAUUAAAGAUUUAUCGGUGUACGAUGGGGAUGCGUUCCAUUAGGUAGUAGGCGGGGUAACGGCCCACCUAGCCAACGAUGGAUAGGGGUUCUGAGAGGAAGGUCCCCCACAUUGGAACUGAGACACGGUCCAAACUCCUACGGGAGGCAGCAGUGAGGAAUAUUGGUCAAUGGACGAGAGUCUGAACCAGCCAAGUAGCGUGAAGGAUGAAGGUCCUACGGAUUGUAAACUUCUUUUAUAAGGGAAUAAACCCUCCCACGUGUGGGAGCUUGUAUGUACCUUAUGAAUAAGCAUCGGCUAACUCCGUG